GAUAAGAACGUAGCGAAAUGCGAUAAGUAAUGUGAAUUGCAGAAUUCAGUGAAUCAUCGAAUCUUUGAACGCACAUUGCGCCCGCCAGUAUUCUGGCGGGCAUGCCUGUUCGAGCGUCAUUUCAACCCUCAGGCCCCCAGUGCCUGGUGUUGGGGAUCGGCCCAGCCUUCCUGUAAGGCCGCCGGCCCCGAAAUCUAGUGGCGGUCUCGCUGUAGUCCUCCUCUGCGUAGUAGCACAACCUCGCAGUUGGAACGCGGCGGUGGCCAUGCCGUUAAACACCCCACUUCUGAAAGUUGACCUCGGAUCAGGUAGGAAUACCCGCUGAACUUAAGCAUAUCAAUAAGCGGAGGA
rnacentral:misc_RNA from 1 species